rnacentral:sRNA from 1 species
UGGUAAUGGGGGCUGUGAAGUGUUUG